UGAGUGUGAUGACAUUUAACUCCAACUGCAACAAUAUUUGCACAGUGAUGUAAACUUUACCAAGGGCAUUGCCAACCCUUUGCUCACUGGUAGAUCAGUGCCUCUUAAUUUUUUUCCUUCUUGCCAGUCUCCAAUGCUACCACCAAGGCUCUCUUGCUUUUUUUCUUUCCCCUCUCUCUCUACUCUUUUAAUUAAAUCCUAACUCAUCUCUCUGCUUCCAACCCUGCCUCUGCAUUAGUCAGUGCUUCUUAACAGGGGCAGGGCACACUCCUUGGAUUGUGGGAGUGGAAAAUUGAUUGGAUAUUGGUCACCACCAUAAUUGGAGAGGUACUGCUGCCGUUUAGUGUACAGAGGCCGCAGAGGUUAGAGACGCAGCAACGCAUGGCUAUUCAGCCACGGACGUCAAAUGCCUGCCAGACAUUUAGAUGAGUGAACCAAGCCUUAAAUGGGAAGAAGAAGAAGGCGGAGGAGAAGGAGGAGGAAAGAAGAAGAAGAAAGAGGAGGAGGAAGAGGAGAAGGGGAGGAGGAAGAAGAGGAGCAGCUGACAAAGUUCCCAUAGUGGAAUGUGGAAGACCUUGGUUUCAAAUUUAGUCGUCUAACUCCAAAUCAGUGUAUUUUACUGGGCUGUAGCUUAAUAAAUACAAGAAGCUACCCUCUCUCCUUGAGAAAUACUCCCUAGGCUGUGGCUCAUUUUAGAGAGUAAGAAGUGUUUAGAUAGGAUAACAGAGAUAAUUUACAAAGGGCAAAAGGAAGACUAUGAUUCAGGAGCAGACGAAUGAGAAUCAGAACCAUUGUCAAGAAUUAGGCCCAGUGAAAAAAUGGGACAUGUAAAAGAGAGAGAAAGAAAGUCCAAAAUGUCUGAGCAAUGUAACAGGCCUGCCAUUUAUCUCACUUCUGAAUAUCAGAAAAGGCAGCAUUUGUUGUCCACAGAAAAAUACAUGGGAUUUAUAGACACUGCCAGGCUCAAGGACCAGUGACACAACUCCCACCGCAGAGAGCCCUGUGGGGUGCUUUCCAGUGGCCACUGGUGGAGUGGGCAGAGUCCUCGGGGAACCAGAGGCCUGCUAUGCAUCUGGAGAGCUGCUUGCUCAGGAUGUCAUGGCUAAACUCCUUGAUCUCUUGGCAGCGUGUGGCCCCGUGAAAUGUGCUUCUUCUUUUUGAAAAGGCCUCUUUUUUUGGAAGUCAAGUCACCACACCAUUUAGAUUCCCCAUACUUCUGGACAGCAUCUUCCCAAGUGCUUUCCCCAACUUGUGGUCAACCCUGUCUUAUACCUCAUCUCGAUCUCUGUCAAUCAACACUAUUCACCCCUCAAGACACGCUUCGACUGACUGCCCCCGCAACCCUUCCAUGGAGUCCUGUCUUUUGGUCGUCCCAGUGAGAAGGGAUCUCUCUCUUCUGAAUGCCUGUAAUGUUUUGUGUCUCCUAUAGCACAUUGAACACACUGCCUUCUGAUAUAGUUGGGUGUCAACAUAUGGUAUCCUCCCUACAAGGGAUUAGCUUGUUUCUAAGACCUUAGUCUUUUUAUUAGACCAAUUUACUUGAUAGAUGAAAAGACUCAUAGAAGUCAUCUAAAUCAAUGUGCCCAUGUUGUAGAUGAGGAAAUGAGCCCUAGAGAGCUGACAUAGUCUAAACAAAUUCGCACAUUCUCCUCUCGCUAGGCUAGAGGAGAGCUGGAAUUCAUUUGCACCCUGAAAUCAGGGACGUGCUUGCCCAGAAUGAGGACAGAAAAGGUUGAAGGAAUGAAUGAUUCUGACAAAUCCCCUAGACCUGCCAUCCCACUGUCAAAAGUGGUUCUGCCAGAGACACAGACAAUGAGUAGGGGAUCCUCAAGUCAACCUCAUCCCAGAGAUAACCAUCUCACUUAGCAUGCGUCCGGGUGGCACCAUCAGCAGCACACAGUAUCUGUUCCCAUCCAAAGAGCUUUUCACGAGGAGCUCGUUCUGAGCUUCUUGAUAAGCAACUGGGUAGUGGUGCUAUUUUUAAUCAGCUGACCAGGGAUGAAAGUUGUUCAGAGAAUUCUGCUUUCAUACAUUAGAAAAAAAACCCAGAAAAUCAAUCUAGCACUAAUAAAAGAUGAUUGAAAAUUGCUAAUACCAACCAAUUGUGAAACUUUGCC
rnacentral:lncRNA from 10 species